rnacentral:rRNA from 1 species
AGUGAACGCUGGCGGUAGGCCUAACACAUGCAAGUCGAACGGCAGCACAGGAGAGCUUGCUCUCUGGGUGGCGAGUGGCGGACGGGUGAGGAAUACAUCGGAAUCUACUUUUUCGUGGGGGAUAACGUAGGGAAACUUACGCUAAUACCGCAUACGACCUACGGGUGAAAGCAGGGGAUCUUCGGACCUUGCGCGAUUGAAUGAGCCGAUGUCGGAUUAGCUAGUUGGCGGGGUAAAGGCCCACCAAGGCGACGAUCCGUAGCUGGUCUGAGAGGAGGAUCAGCCACACUGGAACUGAGACACGGUCCAGACUCCUACGGGAGGCAGCAGUGGGGAAUAUUGGACAAUGGGCGCAAGCCUGAUCCAGCCAUACCGCGUGGGUGAAGAAGGCCUUCAGGUUGUAAAGCCCUUUUGUUGGGAAAGAAAUCCAGCUGGCUAAUACCCGGUUGGGAUGACGGUACCCAAAGAAUAAGCACCGGCUAACUUCGUGCCAGCAGCCGCCGUAA